CUUUGCUUUUUUGGUCUCAUUUGCUUCCUCAGCAUCUUUGGAACCCUUGGGAGCUGGAGAAGAGCAGCCCUGAGCUGGGAGGGAUUCAGGACAUCAGAACUGUGCACAGGUCUUGUCCAAACCCCAGAUGAGGAGCUGCAACUCCCCUGUGCCUCCCAAACUUCAGAUUUUACCAGAGUGGAUCCUCCUAAAGGAAAUCCUCUCCUCUGACAGUUCCUGCUGAUCAUAAGAAAUGGGAAAAAAACAAGGGAAAAGUGGAGAAAACCUAAUGUGAACAACAUGGACACUGAAGAAUUAAAGCUCCUGCUCUCCCUGAGGAAGCACUUUGCCUCUCCCAGCCCAGAGCAGAUUUUGGGAAUCCCAUGUGGGAGAGGAGGAAGAAAGGAGCCCCAAACCACCCCAUGAGUUUCCCAGCCUUUUGCUUUAAACGUCGGUAGAGGCUGUAAUUAAUUUCCUCGUUCUCCAGCCUUGUUGACUGAUUUAACGAGGACUGGUUAUAAUAAUAAAAAAUUUAUGUCCUUAGGCAUUAAACACGAGUGUUGCUUUUGAUACAGGGCACGGGGCUUUCCCAGCUCUCCUUCCUUUUUUUUUUUUUUUUUUUUGGGGGGGCUUCCUUUUUUUUUUUUUUUUUUUGGCUUUUAAUUUCCUCCUGGAAUUCCUCCCAGCCACCCAAAUUCCUGUGAGUGCACACCACUCUCCUCUGCCACCAGGGAGAAGAGGCCAACCAUGGUUAGCACUGGGACCAUGGAAUUUUUU
rnacentral:lncRNA from 12 species